UUAAAGCUCAGGCGGAUAAGGAUGAAUAUGCGACUGAUUAGUUUGUUGGUGAGGUAACGGCUCACCAAGACUACGAUCAGUAGGGGUACUGAGAGGUUAAACCCCCACACUGGUACUGAGACACGGACCAGACUCCUACGGGAGGCAGCAGUAAGGAAUAUUGGACAAUGGAGGCAACUCUGAUCCAGCCAUGCCGCGUGCAGGAAGAAGGCGCUACGCGUCGUAAACUGCUUUUAUACCAGAGAAAACCUAUGUACGUGUACGUAGUUGAUAGUAUGGUAAGAAUAAGCGUCGGCUAACUUCGUGCCAGCAGCCGCGGUAAUACGAAGGAUGCAAGCGUUAUCCGGAUUUAUUGGGUUUAAAGGGAGCGUAGGCGGUCUUAUAAGUCAGUGGUGAAAUCUUGUCGCUUAACGACAAACGUGCCAUUGAUACUGUAGGACUUGAGUACAGAUGCCGUUGGCGGAAUGUGUCAUGUAGCGGUGAAAUGCAUAGAUAUGACACAGAACACCGAUUGCGAAGGCAGCUGACGAAACUGUAACUGACGCUGAGGCUCGAAAGCGUGGGGAUCAAACAGGAUUAGAUACCCUGGUAGUCCACGCCCUAAACUAUGAUUACUCGCUGUCGGCGAUAUACUGUCGGUAGCUAAGCGAAAGCGUUAAGUAAUCCACCUGGGGAGUACGCUCGCAAGGGUGAAACUCAAAGGAAUUGACGG
rnacentral:rRNA from 1 species